rnacentral:lncRNA from 1 species
AUGGGGUGGGGGGUGGGGAGGAGCAGGAUGAGGAAGGGUCACGGCACCAGCGGGUUGAGGGGGAGGUUCAGAGGCAGCGGCACUCCCAGAAGGUUUCCUGGUGGGGACACACAGUCAGGAUCAUCUGUGGUUCCUCCAUCCGUCUGUCCCCCAUCCGUGGUUUGUCCGUCCAUCCAUCCACCAUCCAUGGUUCCUCCAAUCAUCCAUCCAUUUCUCCAUCCACCAUCCAUGGUUCCUCCAAUCAUCCCUCCAUUUCUCCAUUCACCAUCCGUGGUUCCUCCAUCCAUCCAUCCACCCACCAUCCAUGGUUCCUCCAACCAUCCAUCCAUCCACCAUCUAUGGUUUCUCCAUCCAUCCAUCCAUUUAUCUACCAUCUAUGGUUCCUCCAACCAUCCAUCCAUUUCACCAUUUACCAUCCGUGGUUUCUCCAUCCAUCCAUCCAUCCAUGGUUCCUCCAUCCAUCCACUCUUCCACCAUCUAUGGUUCCUCUAUCCUUCCACCAUCUAUGGUUCCUCUGUCCUUCCACCAUCUCUGAUUUCUCCAUCCGUCCUUUCACCGUCCGUGGUUCCUCCAUCCAUCCCUCCAUUUCUCCAUCCACCAUCCAUGGUUCCUCCAUCCAUCCUUCCACUGUACAUGGUUCCUCCAUCCAUCCAUCCAUCCAUCCAUCCAUCCAUCCAUCCAUCCAUCCAUCCAUUUCUCAUCCACCAUCUGUGGUUCCUCCAUCCAUCCAUCCGUUCAUCCAUCCACCAUCCGUGGUUCCUCCAUCCAUCCUUCCACCAUCCAUGGUUUCUCCAUCCAUCCAUCCAUCCAUCCUUCCACCAUCCACGGUUCCUCUGUCUAUUCAUCCAUUUCUCCAUCUACCAUCCAUGGUUCCUCCAUCCAUCCAUCCAUCCAUCCACCCAUCCACCAUCCAUGGUUCCUCUGUCAUCCAUCCGUCCACCAUCCAUGGUUUCUCCAUCCAUCCAUCCAUUUAUUUACCAUCUAUGGUUCCUCCAACCAUCCGUCCAUUUCUCCAUCCACCAUCUGUGGUUCCUCCAUCCAUCCAUCCAUCCAUCCAUCCAUCCAUUUUUCCAUGUACUAUCUAUGGUUACUCCAUCCAUCCAUCCAUCUACCAUCUAUGGUUCCUCUAUCCAUCCUUCCAGCAUCUGUGGUUCCUCCAUCCAUCCUUCCACCAUCCAUGGUUCCUCCGACCAUCCAUCCGUCCUUCCACCAUCUGUGGUUC